GAGUUUGGCUUCUCUUUUAGCUGUUUUUUUUUUAAUACAUCAGCGUCAGCUGGCCUAAACUGCCGUCUCCUCUUUCACCAGCCGCCGUGACAUCCGCCGUCUCUCCAAACAUGGGCGUCCCAAGAUUCACACGGCCCAAAAGACCGGCAACCGAUUCACCGAGUCCUUAUCUCUACGUAGCCAACUGUGGACCAGCGGUUGGGAUUUCUUAUGACACAAUUGCUUCCGUGUUUAACACCUUUGGAGAGGUGAAAGGAAUUUACGCAGCAGAUGAAAGCGGAACACGUGUUAUAGUUUCUUAUUCCGAAGCUAAUUCUGCCCAACAAGCUCUUACUGCACUGAAUGGGAAACCUUGUGCCGAUCUUGGUGGCAGGUCUUUGCAUAUUCGGUAUUCAGUUAUUCAACCAAAUUGUGAGGCUGACAGCCAGCAGGUUAAUGAGCACGUUCCUGUUUCACUGCUGGCUUCGGAGGUUAAUAUUCCUGGGCUUUAUCUGGUUCAUGAGUUUCUCAGUCCUCAGGAAGAAAAGGAGUUACUGGCAGCAGUUGAUGAAAGGCCUUGGAUAAGUCUAUCUAAAAGGAGGGUGCAGCAUUAUGGAUAUGAAUUUUGUUACGGAACAAGGAAUGUUGAUACAAAACUGCAUUUGGGCGAACUUCCAUCAUUUGUUUCUUCGAUACUUGAAAGGAUUUCAUUGUUUCCUGGCCUUAACAGUUCUACAAGCAUACUCUUGGACCAACUCACAGUAAACGAGUACCCACCUGGGGUGGGCUUGUCUCCACACAUAGACACCCAUUCUGCAUUCGAGGGAUUGAUUUUUAGCCUUUCAUUAGCAGGGCCUUGCAUCAUGGAGUUCAGGAGAUACUUGGAUGGUUCAUGGGUUCCUGAUGCUGCCUCUAGUGCUUAUACAAAGGUGGAAAAUGUUGACAACUGCUCAAAUCUAGUUAGGAGGUCUCUUUAUCUUCCUCCUCGGUCCAUUCUUCUGUUAUCUGGGGAAGCACGCUAUGCUUGGCAACAUUACAUUCCACACCAUAAGAUUGACAUGGUAAAUCAAAGUGCGAUCAGAAGGGGUGCAAGAAGGGUAUCAUUUACAUUUCGUAAGAAAAACUCUGCAACUUGCUUCAAUCAAGACCUUUAUUGGAAUGAUAUGACAUACUGUACAAAAAAGGAAGAGACAACCAACAUUUUUCUUAUCGACUACUAGCACAAAGAAUGAGUAGCGGCAGUGGUGCCAUCGGAAAGUACAUGUUUAAUGCAACUUUUAAAGGAUCUUCAUCAAUCUGGUGGUUAUGUAAUCCCUCUACAUUGCACAUAACAAUAAGUCAACUAUUUGUUUGUCUGAAAAUCUUACAUUUCAUGCAAAAGCAAAGGAUAUGGAAGUGCAUUAACCCUGUUUGAGCAGGUAGGUAGUACAAGAAGAGUUAGAUCUACAAUAAUUUGCCACAAAGAACAAAGUGGCUGGUAAAUUCACUGAAGGACACAAUAGGAAGCAACGAGCUUGUGGAGUUUGGAUCAUGGCUCAGAAUUACAAUGAGAAAAUCAUUUUUGAAGGGGUGUGUUGAGGAUCAAGAACAAACCCUUGGUUGAAGAAGCAGCGUUAAAGCUAGCUAGCAAUAAUUAAUUAUGAAACCAAGGUCUGGUCCAUUAUAUAUAAGAGUUAAUUUAAACAAAUAUUUAUUGACCAACUUUCUCAUUAUGUAGCUGUACUUCAAAAGAAGUUGCUCCCAGCCAUAAGGGAAGUCUUCUCCAACGGUACUAAGAGGUCCUUGCCAAUGCGAAUUUCCACAAUACUGUGAUUCAGAAAGAUAGGAGAAGCUGUUGGGUGCCAUUUGAGGUAAUCGACCGAGCUUUUUGACAUAGAGUGUGCUAUAACUAUAUUUAUGAGCGUGUUAUAUAACAAGACCAAGUCUGAAGAAAAGUCCACGAAGAAAUCCGGAAGCAUCUAAUAUGAAAAACUUGGAGUUGUUGUUAUAAUUAUUUUUCUUGCCUUCAAAUUGGAGGCAAUAGGAAACAAUGAAGGAAACAGAAAGUUGGCGCAAAAAAUGGCCAUUUAAAGUAGAACGAGUGAUUAAAGCUAACACUUAUCACCUGUAGGACAAGCAAAGAAACAAUUUCCCCUGUGCGUGGCACUCCAACCAUUUAAAGGCUGUUCCUUCAGCACGAGUAGGGAUGAUCUCAUCAUAGUCAAGAAAAGGACCAGUAAAGGCAUGUUAUAGGUCCACAGGGUUCCUCCUAAGCUCUAUUAUCAAAAUAAGCAUCACCCAUCAGAAGCAAGAACUCAUCAUCCAUGAUAUCACAACAAGCCAUUGUAAUGCCAUACAUGCCCGCCUGAGGCAACCCAGGUGUGUUGGCUGCGCCAUCGGGUUUUUCUGGAUCCUUUAGUAUAGUUUUUAUAUAUUUAUGUGUAUUUUUUUAUUUGUUAGAAUAUUUUU